AUCUUGAAGUUGAGUUUGCAGUCGAUGUCCGAUCCGAUCGAAGAUUCUGCACUGACUGCUGCUUGUGAUUCGAUCGGAAAUUAGUGGGAGGAAACUGGUCGAACAGUAAUUAUUUUCCUGAUGACACCAGACAAAUUAGAGAUGGACCAAAAAUUGGUGCGAGAGUGGUUGACAGAAUUUAAGGCACUACCUGGUUCUGGGAUGCCAGCUUUUGCUCGUCAAAUCAGCAGUAAUGUGGAACUCCUGAAGGCUCUGUUUCAUGUCCUGAAUUCAAGCUCGUCAGUGGUAAGUUCAUAUAAUUUUUAAAGUUCUUCUUUAUCUGUAAAAUAGCCAUUGAGGUCUCAUCUAAUAAUCGUAAAGAAGAAGUCCACCCCAAUAGAAAGAGAAAUAGGUAAAAUCCAACAAGGAAACCACUGAAGAUUACAUCUAAAUGAGUUGAUAAGAAAGUUGUGGCUUUUUUAGAAUUUCACUUAUGUUUCACAUGACAGUUAUCCACAACACAAAUGCGAGUCGAUGUUGUCACUCACUCAGUAUUUCCUUUAUAUUGCAGACUUGAUAAUAAGGAGACUCUCCAUCAAAAGACAAUAGGUUGCAAAUUUGACAAUUCCACAUGUUGAAGGAAAUCUUAUCAAAGUUUGUCCUACCUCUUAAUGGGGAGUGAAAAAAAAAUAUAUUAAAUACAAAAGAAAUAGUGAAUGGGUUACAUCAUCGGUUCCCGAAUUUGUGAACUGACCAGGAUGUGCAUACUGUGAAAUAAGCAAACUUUAAAAUUUCAUAACUUUCUUUUUUUACAUCCUAUUUUGAUGAAAUUUUUCAGACUAGAACCUAUAUUUCUCUCGUAUUAAAGUCAAUUUUUAUUUGGUUUAGACUUUCCCUUUUAGUCAAGUAAAAUAAAUGUAUAGACUUUAUUGCCUCUGCCCUAUAAAAGGGACCUGAAGAUAUAUGCAUUUAAAAUGAAAUAAAGAUGAAAAACAAAGAAGAUAUAUGAAAAAAAAAAGAGGCAGGCCUAAUUUUGAUAGAAUUAAAUACAUUGUUGAUGAAAUUAAUACAAUAUAUUUAUGUGUAUAGUGCAUUUUUUGUCAUACUUACCUCUAAAUCUAAUGAUACUAAGGAUUUUUAUUUGUUGUGUCCAUCAUAAUUGUUUAUUUUUAGCAUUUCCAUGGAAAAAAAUUGAUACAUUAUAUUUUGAUAUAUAUUUUUUGAAAGAAUUGUUGCAAAUGAAAAUAGAAAAUCUAAUUAACACCUUAAGCUACAUGCUUAAACAUUAUGUAAUAAUUAAUUUGUAUUCUUAUUUAAAACCAGAAGUACAUAUUACCAGUAAUAC